rnacentral:rRNA from 1 species
UACGUAGGGCGCGAGCGUUGUCCGGAAUUAUUGGGCGUAAAGAGCUCGUAGGCGGCUUGUCGCGUCGGAUGUGAAAGCCCGGGGCUUAACUCCGGGUCUGCAUUCGAUACGGGCAGGCUAGAGUUCGGUAGGGGAGAUCGGAAUUCCUGGUGUAGCGGUGAAAUGCGUAGAUAUCUGGAGGAACACCGGUGGCGAAGGCGGCUCACUGGACCGAAUCUGACACUGAGGUGCGAAAGCUAGGGUAGCAAACGGG